rnacentral:rRNA from 1 species
GAGAGUAGUACAUCGAUGGGUGACCUCUUGGGAAGGCCUUGUGUUGCAACC